AGAGUUUGAUCCUGGCUCAGGAUAAACGCUGGCGGCGUGCCUAACACAUGCAAGUCGAACGCCCUUGCGCAAGUGAGGGAGUGGCGGACGGGUGAGGAACACGUGGGUAUCUGCCUUGAGGUGAGGAAUACCGGCGAGAAAUCGCCGACAAUACCGCAUAUGUUUGGAGACAAACAAAGCUCUUUUCGGAGAGCGCCUCA
rnacentral:rRNA from 1 species